GGUGUUUACUGUCGAACUGAACACUCUACCGUUUACUGUCUGGUGGUGCUCUUCACCGAGUGUCACCAGUGGUCGGUACGUUUACUUUGAAAAAAUUAGAGUGCUCAAAGCGGUUUUUACACGACCGAAUACUGUUGCAUGGAAUAAUGAAAUAGGACUUUGGUUCUAUUUUGUUGGUCUUCGGAACCAAGGUAAUGAUUAAGAGGGACAGACGGGGGCAUUAGUAUUGCGACGCUAGAGGUGAAAUUCUUGGACCGUCGCAAGACUAACUAAAGCGAAAGCAUUUGCCAAGAAUGUUUUCAUUAAUCAAGAACGAAAGUUAGAGGUUCGAAGGCGAUCAGAUACCGCCCUAGUUCUAACCAUAAACGAUGCCAACCAGCAAUCAGCCUGUGUUCUCUUGAUGACACGGCUGGCGGCUUCCGGGAAACCAAAGUCUUUCGGUUCCAGGGGAAGUAUGGUUGCAAAGCUGAAACUUAAAGGAAUUGACGGAAGGGCACCACCAGGAGUGGAGCCUGCGGCUUAAUUUGACUCAACACGGGGAAACUCACCCGGCCCGGACACUGUGAGGAUUGACAGGUUGAAGCCCUUUCUUGAUUCAGUGGGUGGUGGUGCAUGGGCCGUUCUUAGUUGGUGGAGUGAUUUGUCUGGUUAAUUCCGAUAACGAACGAGACUCUAGCCUACUAAUUAGACCGUGGCGUCCUCGUGCCGCCACGGCGCUUCCUAGAGGGACAGACGG
rnacentral:rRNA from 1 species